rnacentral:snRNA from 1 species
GAGUGAACACAGCUCUUUAAGAAUUUUUUUCUAACAGGAUUUCUGAGGUCAGGAAUCCCAA